CCUACGGGCGGCAGCAGUGGGGAAUAUUGGACAAUGGGGGGAACCCUGAUCCAGCGACGCCGCGUGAGUGAAGAAGUAUUUCGGGAUGUAAAGCUCUAUCAGCAGGGAAGAAAAUGACGGUACCUGACUAAGAAGCCCCGGCUAACUACGGGCCAGCAGCCGCGGUAAUACGUAGGGGGCAAGCGUUAUCCAGAUUUACUGGGUGUAAAGGGAGCGUAGACGGGGCAGCAAGUCUGAUGUGAAAGGUCGGGGCCCAACCCCGGGACUGCAUUGGAAACUGGUGAACUGGAGUGCAGGAAAGGUAGGCGGAAUUCAUGGUGUAGCGGUGAAAUGCGUAGAUAUUAGGAGGAACACCAGUGGCGAAGGCGGCUGACUGGACUGUAACUGACGUUGAGGCUCGAAAGCGUGGGGAGCAAACAGGAUUAGAUACCCCAGUAGUC
rnacentral:rRNA from 1 species